CUGAACACCGGAAGUAGUAGGGCGUGACCUACGAGUGCUGGCUAAGUACUUCCUCUUGCUGUAGGAAGAGCAUCAGGGGAACUUGCAAGUGGGCUUACUCGGUGUCCUCUCCCCUCCCCCUUUCACCUACCUGUAAAUGCUGCCACCACUGCACCAGCCCUCAGGGAUGCCAGUGACAAUGCCCAGGAGUUCUCUGCUCACACGUUCCCAAGAGCUUCAGGCCUCCUUCUAUCUUGUACCUGCCUCACCUGUGACAUCGUCCCACAAACAGGACUUUAACAACCUAAGCAACUUCUGGAAGAGAAAAACAUCAGAGUGAAAAGACAACUGGCAAGACAGAGGAACAGCCGCAGAGGACUCAGCCAUGGCUCGGUAUCUGCCCACAUCAGGUAUCUGUGAAGGCCAGAAGAGGGCAUUAGGUUCCCAGAAGCCAGUUACAGCUGUGAGCUUCCUGAUCUGCAGAAUGGGAACUAACUGUGGUCUUCUGGAAGAGCAGCAAGCACUCUGAACUGCUGAAUCAUCAAGAAGUUGCCCAGACCAGCCUUGAACUUCUAAAUCACUGUCUCAGGCAAUCUCUGAAGCAACUGUUCUGGAUUGGCAUUAACCUGCUUGUCUCUUGCUUGGGGGACAGUUAUCUGAUAAGCUUUAAUCUGUGCAUUUUUGGCUUAGUUCUUCAACUUCCCCACAAAUAUGAGAGAGUGUUGGGGUUCAUCUUGUGAGCUAUGUAUUCAGAAGCUGAAUACUGUGCCCCGGAUCAGAAUGUAACCUGAUACUGGGAUGCUUUGUUAACCAACGUACUCUGAAGAAUGCAUCCCAUUAAUUCCUGACUGGUCAGUAAGUAGUUGGGUAGGGCUUAUGACUGGACAAAGAGGAUGGAUAGGAGGUAGGACUGGGAAUGCAGUGAGGGGUUGAAGAGUCAGGUGAAGAGAGAGGAGGAGGCUGUCAUCAAAGAGGAAGACCAGGGGCAUGUGGCCAAGAGAAGUGCACCCUGAGACUAGGCCAAUGAAGCAGAAGCAGCCUGGGAGGCACCAGAUUGGCAAGUGACUGGCGUUUGUGUGGGUUUUAACAGGUGGAAGGAUUAGAAUAGUUCAGAACCUGCCAAGCACAGUACCUCCAGCUUAUUAAUAAGCUGUAGUGUUUCUGUGUCCUUUACUCAGCAUCUGUACACCCAAUAGUGAGCUAGAAACCCCCAAUAGUUAUUUAGAAAUAAAAAGGGGCGUAGCAACCUCCCAAGAAAAAUAAUUUCUGCUUUAGGAGAGUUUACCUAAGUAUAUCUGUGCCUAAUAUGUAAUAUCAGUGUUUUCUAUGAAAGAAGCGAAUAUUCUUCUGUUUUGUCCUAAGUUUUUCUGAAUGAAUGCACAGAAACUGUUACAAAUUGUCUUUCAUACAGUAUGUAAUAGUCACACCUCUGACUUGACCACAUCCUAAUUAAGAAAGAAGACUAAUUUCUUCAGGUUCACAUGAAAAGAGCUGAUAUAAAAAUAACUGUAGAGUGCAAGUAGAGAGACAGCCCAGUGGGUAAGAGCUACUUUGCCAAGGGCCCAACUUCAAGUCCCAGCAGCCACAUCAGGUGCUAACUAUAACUCCAGUCCUGGGCAGGGGAAAUCUGUGCCUCCCACCCCCACUGACACUGGCAUUCAUGUCUCAGGCAGACACAUACGUGUAACUCUAAAAUAAAGUUAAAAACAAAAAAACUAUUGUGUCUAAAGAACAUCUCAGUAAAAUCAUCAAAGACGGUCUGAAGUGAAUUGAGCUAUGGCUCAUUGGGGUUUUAAAACAAUUUACUUAAAAAGAAAACUAACUGAAGUAAAUGAUUCCUCAAAUCUACCACUAUUACACAAACAUUCCCAAGCCUGCCAAGAGAAGGGGCAAUUUGUGAGCUCUAGUCUAUGCUAUGUGGGCAAGACUGUUGUAUCAUAGUGACUUUAAGAUACAGGUCCACAGGGAUGUGCAAUGAACUUACCUCCAGUUAGGGGAUCACAAGUGCCAAACUGGCCAUUACUGUUGCAAUUGCAUGGUUGGCAGCUACCUCCAAAUUUCUGGGGGUUCCCAAAAUAUCCUGGUGCACACCUACACAAAACACAGAAAGGCUAAGAAACACUCAAGUAACCCAUCAUUUAUCUCACCUUAUUUUCGCUACUUGAGACACCACAGCUGGGUAACAGGGAAGGUGACACAGGCUGGCAAGAAUGAACACCUCACAAAAGGCAUAAUUUUUAUCCCACAAAUGAGGCUAGUAAGGACAGGAGGCAAAGGCAGACAAGGUCACUCCUCCCCUUCAUGUGCUUGUGCUCCUGACUACUCAGA